AUUGAACGCUGGCGGCAGGCCUAACACAUGCAAGUCGAGCGGAUGAAGGGAGCUCGCUCCUGGAUGCAGCGGCGGACGGGCGAGUAAUGCCUAGGAAUCUGCCCGGCAGAGGGGGAUAACGUCCGGAAACGGGCGCUAAUAUCGCAUACGUCCAGAGGGAGAAAGGGGGGGAUCUUCGGACAUCACGCUAUUAGAUGAGCCUAGGUCGGAUUAGCGAGUUGGUGUGGUAAAGGCCUACCAAGGCGACGAUCCGUAACAGGUCUGAGAGGAUGAUCAGUCACACUGGAACUGAGACACGGUCCAGACUCCUACGGGAGGCAGCAGUGGGGAAUCUUGCACAAUGGGCGAAAGCCUGACCCAGCCAUGCCGCGUGUGUGAAGAAGGUCUUCGGAUUGUAAAGCACUUUUAGUUGGGAGGAAGGACAGUAUAUUAAUCCCUUGCUGUUUUGACGUUACCUACAGAGUAAGCCCCGGCUAACUUCGUG
rnacentral:rRNA from 1 species